rnacentral:rRNA from 1 species
UACGAGGGGGGCGAGCGUUGUUCGGAAUUAUUGGGCGUAAAGGGUGCGUAGGCGGUUUGGUAAGUCUGAUGUGAAAUCUAUGGGCUCAACUCAUAGUCUGCAUCGGAAACUGCCGGGCUUGAGUGUGGGAGAGGUGAGUGGAAUUCCUGGUGUAGCGGUGAAAUGCGUAGAUAUCAGGAGGAACACCUGUGGCGAAAGCGGCUCACUGGACCAUAACUGACGCUGAUGCACGAAAGCUAGGGAGCAACAGG